UAUAUGCUGGCACUCUGAAGCAGGUG
rnacentral:piRNA from 1 species